rnacentral:rRNA from 1 species
GACGAACCGUGCGAACGUUAUUCGGAAUCACUGGGCUUAAAGGGCGCGUAGGCGGGCGGACAAGUCGGGGGUGAAAUCGUUCGGCCCAACCGGACAAGGGCCCCCGAUACUGGCCGUCUCGAGGGAGGUAGGGGUCGAUGGAACUUCCGGUGGAGCGGUGAAAUGCGUAGAUAUCAGGAAGAACACCAAUGGCGAAGGCAGCUCUCUGGGACGGUACUGACGCUGAGACGCGAAAGCGUGGGGAGCGAACAGG